UAUAUUUUAAAGUGAAUUGGAAAGUGGACCGUUAGCAAAAAAGAUUCGGGCGACUGGGCGAAGCCCAUCUCUGUACAAUGACUGCCAAAUGUGCAUGCAACUGUGCAAUGCCCAGCGACUCUAAAAGCAUGAAGUAUUGUACGACACAUCCUUUACAAGUAUUUGGACAUAUUUUGUGUAAUAUCCAUUUUUUCCGGUCAUUCUAAAUAAUUAUUACUGAUUAGAUAUUCUGUCAAGUGUCAGUAUUACCAUUGUAAGUUUAAUAAUAUAUACCAUUUUUAUAAUAGGCCCCAUGACAAUGGACUGGAAAAUUCACCUGCUUCAAUUCCCUCUUUCACGCAAUCAUACACUGUGUCAUUUCAAGCAUCCCAAUGUUUCAAUGCGGACAAUGCCCAAAACAGAGAUCAAGCCAUGCUCCAAUCCAGUCCAUGGCAAAAUUGUUGGGACAGGCGGUAGAAACUCUUAUGCUACAAGCUACGGCAUCUGCAAGUUUCCACUGAUUAUAGUGUGGACUCGGACAUACCGGAAUUGAUGAAAUUCAUUGUCAAUUCAUUGUCUGAUUACAUUUUGAUCCAGAAUACAUUCAAGGAUUAAAAAAUGGCUCAUAGGAUAUUUGUCAAGUCUCGGAGGUUGCUCCAAGAAAGACUGGAUUGGAGAAUCAUGAGCUCAGUUAUAACAAAUUUACUCGCCCGCUCUUUCAACUGUGCAGGACGCGGUGGAUAAGGAGUGAGUGGGACGCCCUUAGUUUCUGCUAUUAAAGGUACCGCUCUGGAUGAUCUGGCAACGAACUCCGAUUAAUUAUAUUACAUGUAUACAUAUUUGUAAAAUAAAGACAUUUUGU